rnacentral:rRNA from 1 species
CCGGCACGGAUGGGUAACACGUAUCCAACCUGCCGUCUACUCUUGGACAGCCUUCUGAAAGGAAGAUUAAUACAAGAUGGCAUCAUGAGUCCGCAUGUUCACAUGAUUAAAGGUAUUCCGGUAGACGAUGGGGAUGCGUUCCAUUAGAUAGUAGGCGGGGUAACGGCCCACCUAGUCUUCGAUGGAUAGGGGUUCUGAGAGGAAGGUCCCCCACAUUGGAACUGAGACACGGUCCAA